UUUAGAUUGAGGUAGACGAUCCAUAUGAGCAAGAAAUGCCUAUUCAACAAAACACUGAUCAGAGUUUUAUGAAUAUGUUAAUGCAAGUACAAGAACUAUCCCAACAUGUAUAUCAACAAUAGAUGCAAGCUACUCAUGCUCCUAAUUUUGGUCCAACACAACAGAUGCAAAGUACUCAUGCUCCUAACGCGGAUUUAGCAUUUGUUGAUCUUGAAGUAACUACUGCUUUGGAAAGAACAAAGACUAGGCCUCGUGCAAUUCAAGACAUGGUUGAACUAUUAUCAAGGUGCGUUGGGGAUAACCUUAGAAUUCAGAUUUCUUCACCAACCAGGAUGUAUCCCCAGACGGUUCGAGGUAGUAUUCCAUAUGUGGGUGAAGCUGACAACUAUUUUCUAAUGACUGGCUUGACAUCACUGUGAUACAUUGGUUUGCGAUGUAUUUUUAUGAGACACACAAAUCACGAUGUGCAUUCUUUAAUCCGCACCACAUCAAAGGUGACUCGUGCACGAAAAAUUUCGAAGGCGUUCAAGAACACAUCAUAGAUAUGUUUACGUUCCAUCACUGACAAAACAUUUUUUGUUGCACCAUAUUUAGCCAAUAACCAUUGGACACUAAUUAUCAUUUGUCCUUCAACUGAGAGAGGCUACAUUAUUGACUCUAUAAGUAGAGAAAAAGACCAGCAUAGUUACCUUCUUACAUCUGUCAUUGACGAAGCUUUUGGGUUUCCAUUUCUUUGGAAUAUGGUGAAUUGUAAGCAGCAAAAUAAUGGCUGGGAAUGUGGUUUUAUGGUUAUCCAAAACAUGUAUGAGUUUGUCAAUACUAUUCAACAUGACUUCCCAUUAAACUUUGGAACGAAAAAGGAUGUAUUCCGGAAAAAGAAAUUGACAAACUGAUCCUAGACUUAACGCCACAGUUUAUCAGUAGGGUGUUUCCAGCAGGUCAGAGGCAUGCAUGACAAUAGAAACUGGUGUGGUAAUGGAAACCAAGAAGAGAGCAAUGCACAACAAAACGCCAAAGUUGGUGUUCCACAAUUGAAGUUGAAGUUUUUCGUUAUGUGUUUGAACUGUUGCUGCAAAUUUGUUUCUUUAGGUGUUGAAGUUUUUUCAUUUUAUGUUUGCACUUUAAGUGGGAGAUACCUUUAUGUAGGAGUUUUGAAGUUUUUUUUUUAUUUUGUGUUGAGGUGAGAGUUCGACUAUUGUGAUUUGGUAGCAAAAUAUUGUGUUUAUCUA